CUUCACUUCGCUGCUUUCUCUCUCUGUCUAUGUCUGCCUCCUUCCAUGGCUCCAUCUGUGCAACCUUCUUCAUCACCUCUUCGUACAAGUAAAGGCGAUGACAAGUAUGCGAAUGUGAAAUGGGAAGAACUCGGAUUCUCUCUGAUUCCGACAGAUUGCAUGUAUGCGGCGAAGUGCAAACAAGGAGAGAGUUUCAGAGAAGGGAAGAUUGUUCUUUAUGGUGACAUUUCAAUCAGCCCUUGUUCUCCUAUUCUCAACUAUGGCCAGGUCUGAAAGCUUACAGAAGUGCAACGAUAUGCUGCUGUUCUUAUGGCACAUUUAGAAAGUGAGCAGAUACAACAUGAGAAGUAUUACAAGACUUGGCGUUUCAAAUACAAAUAUGAAGAAAAGCAUUAUGUUGAGAAGAACACGGGAAUGGAUUAUGUUUCUUAUUCGAUCUUUGAUGCCUUGUUGAGUAUUAUCAGUAAGGAUGGUGCUGCAGGAGAUAGAUAACAAACUUAUUGUGUGGAGUUUGCUGAGUUUCCGAUGCAGCAACGGCAGUGGCGUAUUGGAAUUACUUCAUAUCGGCUAGAGGUGAAGCUGAGUAUGUUGUGUUGCGCUGUAUCACAUGGUUUUUUCUCACGGUGGUUGCAAACUCAAAGAGGGAUUGCCUGGUUGAUCUUGCUUUCCUGUUGUCACUUCAGAACGAGCUGUGGAGUGAGCACCAUUUGGUUGUGCAAUUGAUUCUGCUCUUUUGACAACCACAAAGCUCAUGUUUCGUCUGAGACAAAUGCAGAUGAAACCUCUCUCGUUCCUACGGAAGAAACCGAUGAAGAGAUUCCAGAAGAAGAAGCGGUAUGCAGAAUCUGCCUAGACGUAUGUGAAGAAGGCAACACUCUGAAAAUGGAGUGCAGCUGCAAAGGUGAUCUCAGACUUGUCCAUGAAGCCUGUGCCAUUAAGUGGUUUAGCACAAAGGGAACAAUGUUUUUUUUUUUUUAAGAACUUCAAAAUAAGAGCCUACCAUUGGAGAUCCAAAAUCAAUAAAGCUCUUAACUAAGGUUCUUAUUUACUUUUAAUUACUAAAAUAAUGAAUAAGAGACCCAAAUAUGAUUAUGGGUUAAUCAUGCUCUUAGCAUAUUUAUUAUUAGAGUGAUGGAUCUAUAAGUUUGGUCUGCAGGACCAGAUCUUCACAUGGCUGUCUGUCGGAUCUCAAAAACAAAAAGAGAUAUAUUGGCCGUGUUUCAAGAACAAUUAGGAAUCCAUCAAUUAGAGAUUUAGUAGUAUUC